rnacentral:rRNA from 1 species
AGUGAACGCUGGCGGUAGGCCUAACACAUGCAAGUCGAACGGCAGCACAGUAAGAGCUUGCUCUUACGGGUGGCGAGUGGCGGACGGGUGAGGAAUACAUCGGAAUCUACUUUUUCGUGGGGGGUAACGUAGGGAAACUUACGCUAAUACCGCAUACGACCUACGGGUGAAAGCAGGGGAUCUUCGGACCUUGCGCGAUUGAAUGAGCCGAUGUCGGAUUAGCUAGUUGGCGGGGUAAAGGCCCACCAAGGCGACGAUCCGUAGCUGGUCUGAGGGGAUGAUCAGCCACACUGGAACUGAGACACGGUCCAGACUCCUACGGGAGGCAGCAGUGGGGAAUAUUGGACAAUGGGCGCAAGCCUGAUCCAGCCAUACCGCGUGGGUGAAGAAGGCCUUCGGGUUGUAAAGCCCUUUUGUUGGGAAAGAAAAGCAGCAGGUUAAUACCCCGCUGUUCUGACGGUACCCAAAGAAUAAGCACCGGCUAACUUCGUG